GAUGAACGCUGGCGGCGUGCUUAACACAUGCAAGUCGAACGGGAAACCUUUUAAUGAAGCUUCGGCAGAUUUAGCUGGUUUCUAGUGGCGGACGGGUGAGUAACGCGUGGGUAACCUGCCUUAUACAGGGGGAUAACAGUCAGAAAUGACUGCUAAUACCGCAUAAGCGCACAGGACCGCAUGGUCCGGUGUGAAAAACUCCGGUGGUAUAAGAUGGACCCGCGUUGGAUUAGCUUGUUGGUGGGGUAACGGCUCACCAAGGCGACGAACCAUAGCCGGACUGAGAGGGUGACCGGACACAUUGGGACUGAGACACGGCCCAGACUCCUACGGGAGGCAGCAGUGGGGAAUAUUGCACAAUGGGGGAAACCCUGAUGCAGCGACGCCGCGUGAAGGAAGAAGUAUCUCGGUAUGUAAACUUCUAUCAGCAGGGAAGAUAGUGACGGUACCUGACUAAGAAGCCCCGGCUAACUACGU
rnacentral:rRNA from 1 species